CGUAGCCGUCUGCUUCUUCCGUGUUUGAAGGCGUUCACAACUCACCAUCUACCACGCACGAUCGCUGAUUGUUCCCACCGCUGGUACCAUCGCAAUCACCGGCUGCUGGUUCCGCCGUCGUCGCCGGAAAAUUGCCUAGCCUUAUGCGCCGCCGCGAAGUCCCGCCUUCUGCCAUCGGAGUCUCGUUGCCGAUCUGCUAAGGACGUCCACUCGGUUCGAGGUAAGUGGUUCUCUUCCGUUGUGUUCCUAAAAUAGUCAGCUGGCGGGUAGGGGGCUGACUCUUGGUCGCGGGCGGUGGGGGUAUGUUGUGUGGGAAUUUCUUGAAUGUGGCAUUGCUGAAUUCAUUAUAGGAGUUUGAAUUUGAAAGCAAAGAUGAAUAUUUUCAUGCAUUUUGGAGGGAAUUAGAGUCAAAAGGAGAAUUUUGGAUGCAUUUGGAGUCAAUGGGAGCCAAAGAGAAGUUAUGGAGAUGGAUGCAACACUUCCAAGGGAGUCUAGGAGUGGUAUUUUCAAUGGUUUAGUGAAAUGGAGAUGGAUGCAACACUUCCAACAAAAGCUAAAAUUCUCACAUAGAUCGGUCAAUGUUCGGUAUUUGGACGAUAUCUCGGCCUAGAAAUAUUCAACUUGAGUGAUUCUUAUGUCAUUGGAAA